rnacentral:rRNA from 1 species
CCAAUAGCGUAUAUUAAAGUUGUUGCAGUUAAAAAGCUCGUAGUUGAAUUUCGGGGUCAGUAGGUUGGUCAUGCCACUGGUAUGUACUGGUCUCACUGAUUCCUCCUUCCUGAUGAACUGUAAUGCCAUUAAUUUGGUGUUGCAGGGAAUCUGGACUGUUACUUUGAAAAAAUUAGAGUGUUUAAAGCAGGCUAACGCCUGAAUACAUUAGCAUGGAAUAAUGAAAUAGGACGUUCGAUCCUAUUUUGUUGUUUUAUAAGAUUGACGUAAUGAUUAAUAGGGAUAGUUGGGCGCAUUAGUAUUCAAUUGUCAGCGGUGAAAUUCUUGGAUUUAUUGAAGACUAACUACUGCGAAAGCAUUUGCCAAGGAUGUUUUCAUUAAUCAAGAACGAAAGUUAGGGGAUCGAAGAUGAUCAGAUACCGUCGUAGUCUUAACCACAAACUAUGCCGACUAGCGAUCGGAUGAUGUUAAUUUUUUAAUGACUCAUUCGGCGCCUUACG